AUUUUAUUCAAACCAGAGUAGCAAGAAUCUCAACAUAACCCCUGCUGGCUAGCGUGAAUAUGAACAGACAAUCCUGUGCACUGCUGCUUAGCCUGGGAACUGCUACAGACUUGGAAAGGUAAUCUGACAACAACACAUUUAGUUUUAGAAUACAAUGCUUUAAUUUUUAAAAUCACUGGUCUAUAAAGGAAACAUAUUUAAGGCAGCCUCUAUAUGUACGCCUGUCAUCUGAAAGAUGACCCCAUGACCACCGGAGGCCAUUUAUCCAAAAAGUGACUCCAGGCACACAAGCAAAGCAAGAGUGAGACCGGAAAAGCCGAAAGGACAAUGAAAUGUUAUCAUGCCUCAAGGCAAUAGGACCUUGAUUCUGCCCACUAGUGCCUCCCCAGGGAUAAGGAGAUGAGAUGAUAGCCACUGGAGGAAUUGGAGAGAAAAUGAAUAUAAAGUUUAAUGAUAACCACUCAAGACAGCUGCUGCACACAUUGAUACAGCUGGAGUUGGCUAUGUCCUCAUAAAUUUUUACCUCAAGCCUGGGUGACUCAACGAUGCCUCAAGAGGAUGUGUCAUCUCAACAGAUUCUUCAACCAGACUAUUAAGUUUCUGAAAUGUGGCUACUUCGAAUUAAGAGACCAAGAACAGUGAUGGGGACUCAAAAAAACACCAGCUCUUCAGAGCAUUGGAGUCACUCGUCCAACACAGAAAGCAAGUGGGGUACCACAUCUAGAAAACUCACUCUUGAAAAGAGGUCUACAUGGGAAUGUGUGCUGCCAAAGAAGACCGAAUAACCAUCAGACCACCACUUGAGUCUCUAGACACAGAACACCCAACGUAUCCAAAAAUCCACAGUAUUAUGUACAAUAAAUCAUCUUUUUCCUUAUCA
rnacentral:lncRNA from 1 species